UAUUCUUGGUGUAUCUUCAGAUCGAAUAAUUCUUUGCUUUUUGCUAAGAAUUUUUUGUGAAGUGAACCUUCCAUGAGUUUCCAUAAUUUUUUUGAGGCUCUGCCAAUGCAGGGCU